CAGAGCUUUACUUAAUGAUGCCAGCACUCAAACCACGGAAUCAGGUGGAAAUAAAGUUGAGCAGAGUGAUGCCAGUAUCCAGACAGAGAUGAAAAUACCACGGUUUGGUUCAGAUGAGAAAACCUUUCAGCAACAG